rnacentral:rRNA from 1 species
UACGUAGGGUGCGAGCGUUGCCCGGAUUUAUUGGGCGUAAAGGGCGCGUAGGCGGCCACGCACGUCCGUUGUGAAAUCGCCCGGCUCAACUGGGCGGGGUCAGCGGAUACGGUGUGGCUCGAGCAAGCUAGGGGGCAAUGGAAUUCCCGGUGUAGUGGUGGAAUGCGUAGAUAUCGGGAAGAACACCCGUGGCGAAGGCGGCUCUCUGGAACGCAACUGACGCUGAGACGCGAAAGCGUGGGGAGCAAACAGG